UACACUUGUAUGACACAUUGUCCAGUCACUCAAAACCAUUACCUGGUCUUUCUACAGGCUCCUCUGUGUUGCUAGAGAAAACCUUGGGCUUUGAGAGGACUGUCAGCAGUUCUAAUCUCCUCUCCGUGUGUGUCUCCAGUGAUAUUUCCUGUUGUUCCUGCUGUUCCAAACCCAAAUCACCUUCACUAGCUAGCUCUUGGCUCAGCAAGGGUGGAUAUUCUUCAGAUGCUGCUCUGUGAGGAAACAGUCUCUGGAAGACUGGGACUGUGGAAAUCAUUUUGCAGGCAUUUGUGUUUUAAAUGACUGUAAAGAUGCUGACAUUCUGUGAGAAGGAGUGUUUUAAUUGUCUUCAAUGUUACAUUAGGGUAUAAGGUGUUAUAUGUACAUUAUAUAUACAUGUAAUAUAAAUUAGUAUACCAAAGAAUUUCUUGCAUUGAACAGAUAUUUGAAAAGCUGAGGUUGUGAAAUAUUUCCAGUUUUCUCCCCAGAGAAGUCAUUAAAGUCAUGAAACUUUUUGCUGCUUUUAACUGAGAUGACAGGAGCUGAUGAUUCGCCAACAUUAACUCCACCUACUCCGACUCUACCACUCUAUUCAGCCUGCUCCCAACUCUUUUCCACAUUGUUCUGGGCUGUGCUGUACUGUGCAUUUAACACCUCCUGUUAACAAAACUGCCACAGAAGCCAAGAGCCACCUCCCAUUCUUGGUAUCAGGUGUUCAGAGUUCAAUCCAUUGCCCAUGCAGUUUGGAGGACAGCGUAAACCAGGUAGACGGGUGUAACAGCAGAGGUUGUGGCCUCAGGGAAAAUACCUGGAGAUCAGACAGGGAGAAAAUGUCCCAGCGAUUAUUAUGCACAAAGAAUGAGCUGUCUCCGGACAAAAGAAAGACAGGAGAUUUAAGGGCAAGGCAGAGGUAGAGAAUGAGUGAGACAAAGAAGUAUACUAGGGUAAAAUCAAGUAUUUUGAGACAGAGUGAGGGGAUGGUGACAGAGUCACCUACAGUGAAGCAGGGAGGGGUUCAACAUGCAGACCUGUUAUUUCCUACCCAGUCUGUGUGCUGUGUUGAGAUAACAGUCUGACACAUUUUCUAUCAGCAUGUGGGAAUGCACAGUUUAUUUUCUCUAUAAGGCAUUGUUUUGGAAACCAGUCACAACACCUUUAAUGUUGCUGGCUCCCCCGCUGCUGAUAAGAGCGCUGAUUCCGAGAACACACACACACACACACACACAUAUCCACCCACACAUACAUAUCCACCCACCCACACACAUAUCCACCCACACCCACCCUUUUGAAGUCCCACAGUUUCUGUUCUCCACUGGAUGUCUCUGUCUCCACGUCCGUCACACACACACACACACACACACAUACGUACACACACAACUUACCUAUAUCAGAUAAGCCCACAUGGACACAAGGAGCAGAGACGAACAUUAUGUAAUAAAGGACACCAACCGGUGAAACCAAAGGACUGCAAAGGUCUAGAAAGAUUAGUUGGAUAAUCAUGUUCCUCACCUGAUAC